rnacentral:rRNA from 21 species
UCGUCAGCUCGUGUCGUGAGAUGUCGCGUUAAGUCGCUGAACGAGCGCAACCCCUAUCCUUAGUUGCCAGCACGUCAUGGUGGGGACUCUAAGGAGACUGCCGGUGUCAAACCGGAGGAAGGUGGGGACGACGUCAAGUCAUCAUGGCCUUUAUGUCCAGGGCUGCACACGUGCUACAAUGCGGCGUACAAAGGGAAGCGAAUUCGCGAGAACAAGCAAAUCCCAAAAAGCGUCGCUCAGUUCGGAUUGCAGGCUGCAACUCGCCUGCAUGAAGUUGGAAUCGCUAGUAA